CAUGCAAGUCGAGCGGAAACGAGUUAUCUGAACCUUCGGGGAACGAUAACGGCGUCGAGCGGCGGACGGGUGAGUAAUGCCUAGGAAAUUGCCCUGAUGUGGGGGAUAACCAUUGGAAACGAUGGCUAAUACCGCAUAAUGCCUACGGGCCAAAGAGGGGGACCUUCGGGCCUCUCGCGUCAGGAUAUGCCUAGGUGGGAUUAGCUAGUUGGUGAGGUAAGGGCUCACCAAGGCGACGAUCCCUAGCUGGUCUGAGAGGAUGAUCAGCCACACUGGAACUGAGACACGGUCCAGACUCCUACGGGAGGCAGCAGUGGGGAAUAUUGCACAAUGGGCGCAAGCCUGAUGCAGCCAUGCCGCGUGUGUGAAGAAGGCCUUCGGGUUGUAAAGCACUUUCAGUCGUGAGGAAGGUAGUAUAGUUAAUAGCUGCAUUAUUUGACGUUAGCGACAGAAGAAGCACCGGCUAACUCCGUGCCAGCAGCCGCGGUAAUACGGAGGGUGCGAGCGUUAAUCGGAAUUACUGGGCGUAAAGCGCAUGCAGGUGGUUUGUUAAGUCAGAUGUGAAAGCCCGGGGCUCAACCUCGGAAUUGCAUUUGAAAC
rnacentral:rRNA from 1 species